rfam:Triticum aestivum genome assembly, contig: Triticum_aestivum_CS42_TGACv1_scaffold_343670_4DL
AUAUUACUCCCUACGUCCAAAAAAACUUGUCCCUCAAAUUGAUGUAUCUAGCAUCAAAUUAGUGAUAGAUACAUCUAUUUGAGAGACAAGAUUGGGACAAGCUUUUUCGGACAGAGGGAGUAUCAU